rnacentral:rRNA from 1 species
CCUACGGGAGGCAGCAGUAGGGAAUAUUGCUCAAUGGGGGAAACCCUGAAGCAGCAACGACGCGUGGAGGAUGAAGGUUUUCGGCUUGUAAACUCCUUUUGUUAGAGACGAUAAUGACGGUAUCUAACGAAUAAGCACCGGCUAACUCAGUGCCAGCAGCCGCGGUAAUACGGAGGGUGCAAGCGUUACUCGGAAUCACUGGGCGUAAAGAGCGCGUAGGCGGGAUAGCAAGUCAGAGGUGAAAUCCUAUGGCUUAACCAUAGAACUGCAUUUGAAACUGUUAUUCUAGAGUAUGGGAGAGGUAGGUGGAAUUCGUGGUGUAGGGGUAAAAUCCGUAGAGAUCAAGAGGAAUACUCAUUGCGAAGGCGACCUACUAGAACAUAACUGACGCUGAUGCGCGAAAGCGUGGGGAGCAAACAGGAUUAGAUACCCCUGGAGUC